GAUGAACGCUAGCUACAGGCUUAACACAUGCAAGUCGAGGGGCAUCAGGGUAGCAAUACCGCUGGCGACCGGCGCACGGGUGAGUAGCACGUAUCCAACCUACCGUUAACUCCGGAAUAACCUUUCGAAAGAAAGACUAAUACUGGAUAGCACCAUUUGCGGACAUCCAAAGAUGGUUAAAGAAUUUCGGUUAUCGAUGGGGAUGCGUUCCAUUAGCUUGUUGGCGGGGUAACGGCCCACCAAGGCAUCGAUGGAUAGGGGUUCUGAGAGGAAGGUCCCCCACAUUGGAACUGAGACACGGUCCAAACUCCUACGGGAGGCAGCAGUGAGGAAUAUUGGUCAAUGGGCGAGAGCCUGAACCAGCCAAGUAGCGUGAAGGAUGAAGGCUCUAUGGGUCGUAAACUUCUUUUAUAUGGGAAUAAAGUGAGCCACGUGUGGCUUUUUGUAUGUACCAUGUGAAUAAGGAUCGGCUAACUCCGUGCCAGCCGCCGCGGUAACAC
rnacentral:rRNA from 1 species